AAAAAAAACACUAGAAUGGAUAUACAUUUAAAAAAAUUGUAAACAAAAACAUGGAUAUGAGUUCUUGGCAGAUCUGACCUGAAACAUCUUGUUAAUGCUCAUAGUUACACUUUAAACAUGCUGAAAUGCAGGAGCAUCUAUCUUGUGAUUACCACAGUAGCUAAGUAAGCAAAGUGCACCCAUACAAAUGGCUUAUUAACAAUUCAUAAGUCUAAUACACAGUAAGGUAUUGGAGUACUGGCUAUUAUAUCGCAGAAAAAACGUAAAAUUCUCUGCUUGAUUGUUGUAGGACGUAGAUAGACUUCAUUGUACUUUAAGAUUUGACUGCAUGCAGACUCGAUAAUGAAGAGGUGAAACAUUAAUGGCUUUAUGUUUUAUUAUUAUUUUUUUCUCUUAUGGUGAAUUUGAUCCAAACUCCUCUCUCCCCUAGUGGAGCUCCAGCUGAACUGGAAACCUCUCGCUGGCAGGUCGGCUCUCUGUGCUGAUCUCACUGGCUCGGCUUUCUGCAGGCUUAUCACAAGUCACAUUUCACAUUGAAAUGACCGGCUUGGCGUUACUUCUUCAGCUGACUCAGUUGCCAAGCAACAUUAAGGUCCUUUAAAUUCUACCAGGUAGCUAUUUACAGCCUCUCCCGACAGAGAGUCUGAACAGUGACAGAACAUGUCUGCGUUAACAACAGAGCAGACAUGUUUCACGUAAACGUUGCUUCAUUUGAGUUUUUCUGUAGUGCUGAUGUGAACAUGUCUGCCAGCCAAGUUUGGGUUUGACUGCAAGAACUUCAAGUGUGGAACUUCUUCAUGAUAUAAAUCUCAAAAUUCUUUUUAGCUCUUCCUAAAAAAAAUAAAUAAAAAUAAAAAUAUCGUAUUGACCCCAAAAGGAAAUCAAAUUUAUUUAAUUUUGGGCUUUAAGUUGUGGCCUGAUCAGAGUUAUAGUUAUAAGUUAAAUAAUUAUUGCCGAAAUAGGUGGUGUAAUUUAUUUCGGAUGCCCAGAAUAAUUAGGAAAACAAUCAGAACAAAAUCUGUAGGACUCUUGUCAAGAGAAUCAGGCUAAGCUAACCUGUUAGCCUAUUGUUCUAAUGCUAAACCCUACUAGCGAUCAUCAUGGACUAAGCUUAGCUAUGUCUUUAUAGGAUAUUUAUGGUCAUAUUUCUGUAGUUUGCAAAAGAAAUUAUUCUAAUUUUUUUAGGACAGCUCUGUCUGUCUGUGACUGAGUAAACUGUUGUGAUGCCAGCAGCUAAUUCUCGACGUCUCCAGAUGUUUCCUUCAGUCUACUGACGAGCUAACAGAUCAUGAGUGAAUCAUAAUAAUGUGUCAGAAAAUUGUGACUGGGGAAAAAAAAAUAACAUAAAUUAUGAUAACUGGUAAAAAAAAAUUACGACUUUUUGAGAUUUUACACAAAUAUUUGAGUUUUUAGUUUUAGUUUUGCGUGCGAAACCCUGAGCAAAUUUCCUGCUAAGACUUGGAAAAGAUGUCUUUGACAAAGAACACGUGAAAGCAGCUGAAAAAUGAAGAGAUAUCUAUAUCUUACUGACAAGUUGUUGGGAUUGAGCAACAAAUUCACCGAGCUUAAAUUUAAUCAAAUAUCUGUUGGGUAGUUUCAGACCGGACCUACAAACUGAAAAAAGUCUAAAUUUGAGUGCAUGUUUUGAGGCUAAACUUCGACAACUGGUCACAACGUCCUGAACUAUUGUGCUUGGAAGGUAAGGUAAUUAAUUUCUCUUCAUUUCUGUUCAUUUAUAUAGUUGAUUUUA